rnacentral:rRNA from 1 species
UACGGGGGUGCGAGCGUUGUCCGGAAUCACUGGGCGUAAAGGGCUCGUAGGCGGUCUGUUGCGUCAGGAGUGAAAACUCGGGGCUUAACCCCGAGCCUGCUUCUGAUACGGGCAGACUAGAGGUAUGCAGGGGAGAACGGAAUUCCUGGUGUAGCGGUGAAAUGCGCAGAUAUCAGGAAGAACACCGGUGGCGAAGGCGGCUUCUGGGCCAUCACUGACGUGAGACACGAAAAGCGUGGGGAGCAAACGGGG